GAGGUAGAGAGAAAGCAGAGCCCUGGAGAGAUGUUAGCUUUCCUGAGGCUACGGCUGCAGCAGGGCACACUCUCAUUUGGCACACACACUCCAGCAUACAGAUAUCCACCCACCAGCACAGGCAGAAGAAGGUUCAGGUUGUCUUUUAUUCCAGUCGGACAAGGAUGAAUGCUUUGUGAACACCUAACUUUGUCCUGCCUCUACUUCUGGUUAAGACAACCACCUCUGCCUCUCUCCCAAUGGAAGAGUAACAUAAUCUGCUGCAACCAACAUUCAACCCAUCAACCAAGCUCCUUUCAGCAUCUAUGGGCUUACUGUGGGACCUCUGACAAGAGCAGGUAAAGAAACUUCAGAGAGAAGGAAAGUGUGAGCAGCCCAUUCCAGUCUCCUAAAUACUGAUUUUUAAGGCCCUUUCACAUCUAACUGCAGAGUGAGUGGGAGUGAGUUAUAAUUGCAUGCACAGGAAGUAGUUGAAGGAACUUCAGCAGAAGAGGCAGCACCUUUUGUCCAACCUGAGAGCACAAACAAACAUAAUAUGAUAAUUUGGGAGACCUGAUUAAGGACUGACUAUACUUCUCCUUGUCCCUAUCACAUUCUGCAAGAGUUCUUCUAUCACUUCAUCCCUCAUUUAGAACGAUCUACCUGAUUUGUGCAAGUCCACCACAGUGUGACUAUGCCUACUCUGAAGUCACACUGAGAACACAGCUGAAUUGCAUCAGGUCAUCAUGGUGCCUGUUGUCCAAGACAAAGCAUUAAAUUGAGAUUCUAAUCAAGGGUACAGUUUGCAUGUUUCUUGUGUCACUGCAGCAACCAAUUCAGCUGGGAUUUCAUAUGCCCUGGGAAAUAAACUCAUUUUGACCCAAAU